UCGUUGGACUUCAUUUUUUGUCGCGAACCUCGCUGUGAACUCAAUAUGGACCGAAUCUCGAAGCAUCAAAUUCUAACAGAAGUUAGUUGCGAUGAGAUUUUUUUCCAAAAAAGGUUCUACAUUUUUGCGAAGUAGAUUGAUAAGCGGCAGUGUAUUCUUGAUUCACAUUACUGCCUUAUGCUGAAUUCAGUUCUGGCAUCUUCCUGGAUGGA
rnacentral:lncRNA from 1 species